rnacentral:lncRNA from 10 species
CGCCCCCCUUCCCCCUUCCACCCCUCCAUAAUGCCCUUCGCUCCUCCCGGGCUCUGCAGUGCUCCUGGGACCCAUCUUCUCCUCAUUGACCAUUCUGCAUCUCUUAAUUGUGGCUCCCACUUUUGAGAUCCGUGACGCUUCUCCCUCUUCUCGAUUCUGCUCUCACCACCCUUCAGAUCUGUCCUCGGCCCCAUUUUGUGUUGGAUAAGCAAUAAUUUUAAAGUUUACCCCAUUUGGUUUUAUUGUUGUUUUUAUUUAACAAGACGUCUACACAUAUAUCUAUUAAAUAUUUAUUUACUGAUCAUUCUUUCUGUUGUCGGGGAGAGUAACAGAUCUUCAGUUCAAGGAGGUUGGCGUUCAGACAUCAGGAAGAAAUUGCAAAAUAAAGUGUUUUGGAUCCUCUGUGAGAUUUUUGUCUUUUGUUCCUCCAUUUGUUCUGUGACAUCACCUAGAACAUGACCUGACAGGUCAGUAGGAGCUCAGUCUUCAUUGAAUAAAAGUAUGAGUUUCUGAAUGAGAGAAUCCUGGAAUAGAUGAAGUCUGUCGCCUUUCAGUCUUCAGAUUCUUGGGAUUCCUCAAGCCAUGUAGAGGAAAGAAACUUUCCUAUUGUUAGUUUUCAUUUGCAUCUUACCAACUUUGUGACUUAGGACAAGUCAUUUAUUCUUAAUCUGAGUUCUCGUGUCUAUAAAAUGGGCUUAAAUACCUAUUUUGCUUGCCACAGUCUUUUUAUUUUUAUUUUUUGAGAACUAAAUACCAUAACGCUAAAGUUGGUAACCUUUGAGUUUGCUGGAAGAAUGAAAGAGAACAAUUAGGUAAUUAAAAUGUUCAGGUAAGCGAGCAUGUGAGGGUGCUGCAAAGGCGGCGUGAUGAAAUUUUGGAUCAGUGGAGUGGCACAUGCUAUUGAUUUGUUAUCUCUUGGUCUUUGUACAACUUGUAAUUUGCCCCCAGGUAGCAGAUAGUUUGAAGGUCUUAUCAGAAAGUGUCUCAUACACCUAAAUGUUAACACCAGGUCAUAGGCCAAAUAGCAGUUGUCCACAUUUGUGGAGGCCUCCGUUACUCUUUUUCUCAUCAUGACACAUGGCCUAGGUUUGAGUCCCAGUCCCACCUCUUACCUGCUCUGCACCCUCCGACAAGGCCCUUUAAACUCUUGGUGCCUUAGGCACGUCGUCUUAAAAAGGAGAAU